UAAGGGAUAUUGCACAAUGGGGGAAACCCUGAUGCAGCAACGCCGCGUGGGUGAAGAAGGCUUUCGAGUCGUAAAACCCUUUUCUAGGGGAAGAGGAAGGACAGUACCCUAGGAACAAGUCUCGGCUAACUACGUGCCAGCAGCCGCGGUAAGACGUAGGAGGCGAGCGUUAUCCGGAUUCAUUGGGCGUAAAGGGCAAGUAGGCGGUUGUCAAAGUUGGGCGUGACAUCUCCUGGCUUAACUAGGAGGGGUCGUUCAAAACUAGGCGACUAGAGGGCAGAAGAGGAAAGCGGAACUACUGAUGUAGCGGUGGAAUGCUCAGAUAUCAGGAAGAACACCAGUGGCGAAGGCGGCUUUCUGGUCUGCACCUGACGCUGAGAGGCGAAGGCCAGGGUAGCGAACGGG
rnacentral:rRNA from 2 species